CAUGCAAGUCGAACGAGGAUAUAUCCUUCGGGAUAUAAGCCGAGUGGCACAAGGGUGAGCAAUGCAUAGAUUACCUACCUUUAGGAUAAGGACAACUUUGUGAAAACGGAGCUAAUACUUAAUAAUACAAAUGAAAGUAAUUUUCUUUUGUCAAAGGGAGGGUAGCAAUACCUUUCGCCUAGAGAGGGGUUUAUGUCCUAUCAGCUUGUUGGUGGGGUAAUAGCCUACCAAGGCGAAGACGGGUAGCCGGUUUAAGAGGAUGGUCGGCCACACUGGGACUGAGACACUGCCCAGACUUCUACGGAAGGCUGCAGUCGAGAAUCUUUCGCAAUGCCCGAAAGGGUGACGAAGCGACGCCGCGUGGGUGAAGAAGGCCUUCGGGUUGUAAAACCCUGUCAGGAGUUAUGAAAUGUAAGUGCGCUAAUAUCGUGCUUAUUUGACAAAGGCUCCAAAGGAAGCCACGGCUAACUCUGUGCCAGCAGCCGCGGUAAUACAGAGGUGGCGAGCGUUGUUCGGAAUUAUUGGGCGUAAAGAGCACGUAGGUGGGUUUGCAAGUCAGAUGUGAAAGCCUUCUGUUCAACGGGAGAAUUGCAUCUGAAACUGCUAAUCUUGAGUAUAGGAGGGGAGAAUGGAACUUCUGGUGGAGCGGUGAAAUGCGUAGAUAUCAGAAGGAACGCCGGCGGCGAAAGCGAUUCUCUGGCCUAUUACUGACACUCAGUGUGCGAAAGCUAGGGGAGCAAACGGGAUUAGAUACCCCGGUAGUCCUAGCCGUAAACGAUGGGCACUAAGUAGAGGGGAUUACCUAUGUUCUCUCUGCCGUAGCUAACGCAUUCACGCAUUAAGUGCCCCGCCUGGGGAGUACGGCCGCAAGGCUAAAACUCAAAAGAAUUGACGGGGGCUCGCACAAGCGGUGGAGCAUGUGGCUUAAUUCGAUGCAACGCGAAAAACCUUACCGGGGUUUGACAUGAUAGAAGUAGGAACCUGAAAGGGGGACGAACGGUAUCCAGUCCGUAGCUAUUACAGGUGUUGCAUGGCUGUCGUCAGCUCGUGUCGUGAGACGUUGGGUUAAGUCCCCUAACGAGCGAAACCCUUGUUUUUAGUUACCAGCGGGUUAUGCCGGGUACUCUAGAAAGACUGCCGUCGUCAAGACGGAGGAAGGUGGGGAUGACGUCAAGUCAUCAUGGCCCUUAUGCCCCGGGCUGCACACGUGCUACAAUGGUCGGUACAGACGGAAGCGAAGCCGAGAGGUGAAGCGAAUCCUAAAAAGCCGAUCUCAGUUCGGAUUGGAGGCUGAAAUUCGCCUCCAUGAAGUUGGAAUCGCUAGUAAUCGCGGAUCAGCAAUGUCGCGGUGAAUAUGUUCCCGAGCCUUGUACACACCGCCCGUCAAGCCACCCAAGCAGGAUGCACCCGAAAACAUUAUAUCUAACCAGGGCAACUUGGAAGAAAAUGUUGAAGGAGUGUUUUGUGAGGAGGACUAAGUCGUAACAAGGUAGUCGUAGGAGAACCUGCGGCUGGAUCACCUCCUUUCU
rnacentral:rRNA from 1 species